GGCCGCGAGUGGUUUCUAUGAAGACACCAAAAGAAAUGUUAAAUUAGUACAUGGAGGCUCUAAGACAAAACAGUGACCUUAGCUUUAGCACUACAUUUAUCAUUGCUUAUUACCUGCUUUUCGAGACUCGGGCUCCUUGCCACAGAGUAGGAGAUAGAAACAUUCCCUUUACUGUACAACACCUGACAAUUGUGUUUCCUUAACAUCAACCUAACAUUCACCAAUUCCUCAAAAAAUCUCCACAUCCAUUGAACGGAAAACACAGACAUGAAUACAUCAUUAUGGGUGCGUGAAGAAACCAGCAACUAGCUCGUUCACACUCACCCAGUGGCGCCACCAAUCAGAGGAUUCAGCGGUCAAUGAAAUGCCCCCAGCCAGCGCUAAUUACCACUCGUUCACCUCUCACACACCUCUCCUCUCCCUGCAGUCUUCCAUCUGAAUGGAGUAAAGGAGGAAGCCUUGAUUCACCAGCUCUGGCAGACAGCUCUCCACCCAACAACACCUAGUCUAUAAGCUAUCCACCCUACGUGAAGGCUCCUCUUAAAGUUUGGGCUUCUUUCUAGAGUGCCCUUCAUCACUACCAGUCCUGCCAGCUAUGCUUCUCCAGCUCCUGGGUGUUAUCCGUGGUGUGUGUGUGGCCGCUGACGCUACCAGUCCUGCUAACUAUGCUUCCCCAGCUCCUGCUUGUUAUCCGGGGAGUGUGUGUGCUGCUGCCAAGGGUAUUCUACCCACCAGGCUGCUGUAUUGAGAGUGAUGGGAUCACACACCUUUCUGAUGAGAGAGAUUGAGUUGUUUGGUGUUUCCAUUCCCCAUUUUACUAAUCUUUGGAUAACAUAAUUUGGAUGAUGUCUUUUUUGUUUUUAUCUUUCUUUAUCAAGUUGGGUACGAGUAAUUGUGGUGCCACCGCGAUCCUGUCGUAUCUGGCGACCUCGUCAGGAUGUAAGUCGUCAAUUAUUUUUCUUUCUUAAGAUUGGAGAUAUUUUCAUACUCGCUACAGUACUUCCUUGCUGCCUGAGGCCCAGGAAUGAAGUUAGUGGUUUGAGAUGUCUUUUCUGUCCCCUUUUCUGUUUGUUCUUUUUUUUUGCAUGUAUUUGGAGAUUUUGCUGUUAUUGAUUGGUGUGAUUUUGGGUGUAUGGUUGUUUGUACAUACCUUUGGAUUGUUUUCCACGUGUUCCUAACACCAUGACUUCUUCGAGACCCUAAAGGCUCGGGCUGAGGCACUUGGACUAGAAGGCCGAGACAUUGGCCAUUGGAUCUUCAGCAGCAGAUGUUUGAAUGAGACGAGCGUCGACUUGAGAGUGAAAUCCAGCAGGUAGAGAGAGAAGCUGCAGAAAAGUAAGUUGAGAGGAAAAAAAAGGAGAUAAAACUUGCUGAGCCUCAAGUCUUGUUACCAAGUGAGCCUGUUACCAGACCAAGUUUACCAGUCUACAGAGAUGAAGAGGGCGUUGCUACUUAUCUAGUAAGAUUUGAGCAAGCAACAGAGUUGCUUAAUUUGGAUAAAGACAUCUACGCAGUCAGACUAUCUUAGGUUGCCUUUUGACUGGCAAAGCAACUGAGUUGUAUAUCAUCUUUCCAUCCUCUGCAACCAAGGAUUUUGACGUUGAAACAGGCAUUGUUGACUGGCUUCACCAAGACACCAGAUGGAUAUAGAGUUGACUUCUGAUCAGCAAAGAUCAGAUAUAUAUGGAUACCACUAUAAAUAAUUUUACCUGCGUCACUACCAGGGGGGGGGGGGUUAGAACUACCAUCAGGUCGUGACUCGGCUGUCAAGGAUGUUAGAUUUUUGGCUUGAAUCAUAUCUGUGGCUACCUCUUUUGAUAAUUUAAGAGAAUUUAUUAUUUUUGAACAAUUUUUGUCCUCAUUCACACCUGAAAUCCGUCUCUUCAUCAAGGAACGAAGGUCAUCAAGGCUGAAGGAAGCAGUGCAACUCACAGACGACUGGUCUUACGCCCACAACUCCCAUCCCAAGUUUUCCUCUUCCAACAGUCCCAGGAAAACUUCCGUUCAUCGUGGACCUCAGCUGAAGAGUAAAUCUUCAGUAAAACGUACUACUACUUCAGUGAAGCCCUACCACUGUGGAGAAGAGGGACACAUUAGGCCACCCCGUCCCCUAGAAUCCCUGAGCUAGGACCCAAUUUCUCCUGCAUCACAAUAUAAGACUUCAGAGCUCACUGGCCACCUCUCUGACUUGCUGAAGAAGCCUGUACAUGAACUGCUUCAGUGGACCGAAGAUCUGCUCUCUUGGUUCAACCAACUGAAGAAAGCCCUCUCUUCUGGACUCAUUCUGUCCUCCAGAUCCAACUCAGACAUUCAUCCUGCGAACUGUUGCCUCCAGCCAUGGACUUGGUGUUGCACUUCUACAAUAUCAUGAGGAUCGUCUGCGUCCAAUUGCCUAUGCCAGCUGGAAGCUUCUGGAUCGAGAGCAGUGGUACUCUACAAUCGAGAGGGAAUGCCGAGCCAUCGUGUUCAGUGUAAAUAAGUUUGAUUUC